CGAAGGGUGCAAGCGUUACUCGGAAUUACUGGGCGUAAAGCGUGCGUAGGUGGUUCGUUAAGUCUGAUGUGAAAGCCCUGGGCUCAACCUGGGAAUGGCAUUGGAAACUGGCGACCUAGAGUGCGGUAGAGGGUAGUGGAAUUCCCGGUGUAGCAGUGAAAUGCGUAGAGAUCGGGAGGAACAUCCGUGGCGAAGGCGACUACCUGGACCAGCACUGACACUGAGGCACGAAAGCGUGGGGAGCAAAACAGGAUUAGAUACCCUGGUAGUCCACGCCCUAAACGACUGCGAACUGGAUGUUGGGUGCAACUAGGCACUCAGUAUCGAAGCUAACGCGUUAAGUUCGCCGCCUGGGGAGUACGGUCGCAAGACUG
rnacentral:rRNA from 1 species